rnacentral:rRNA from 1 species
GAUGAACGCUGGCGGCGUGCCUAUUAAAUGAAGGUGAACGAAAGGAACAGAAACCUGCCUUCCUGAUGUUUAGGGCGGACGGGGUAGUAAACCCUUGGAAAACUAACUUAUAGGACGGGGUUAACUUGGGAAAACGGAACCAAAAACGGGAGAAUAUUUUAAACCGCAGGUUUAAAAGGGAAAAGAGGGCUUGCCUGUAACUAAUAGUGGGAUCCGCGCUGCAUUAGCUAGUUGGUAAGGUAACGGCUUACCAAGGCAACGAUGCAUAGCCGACCUGAGAGGGUGAUCGGCCACACUGGAACUGAGACACGGUCCAGACUCCUACGGGAGGCAGCAGUAGGGAAUCUUCCGCAAUGGGCGAAAGCCUGACGGAGCAACGCCGCGUGAGUGAUGAAGGUCUUCGGAUCGUAAAACUCUGUUAUUAGGGAAGAACAUAUGUGUAAGUAACUGUGCACAUCUUGACGGUACCUAAUCAGAAAGCCACGGCUAACUACGUG